CGGCGUGCCUAAUACAUGCAAGUCGAACGAGUUCUGAUUAUUGAAAGGUGCUUGCAUCUUGAUUUAAUUUUGAACGAGUGGCGGACGGGUGAGUAACACGUGGGUAACCUGCCCUUAAGUGGGGGAUAACAUUUGGAAACAGAUGCUAAUACCGCAUAAAUCCAAGAACCGCAUGGUUCUUGGCUGAAAGAUGGCGUAAGCUAUCGCUUUUGGAUGGACCCGCGGCGUAUUAGCUAGUUGGUGAGGUAACGGCUCACCAAGGCAAUGAUACGUAGCCGAACUGAGAGGUUGAUCGGCCACAUUGGGACUGAGACACGGCCCAAACUCCUACGGGAGGCAGCAGUAGGGAAUCUUCCACAAUGGACGCAAGUCUGAUGGAGCAACGCCGCGUGAGUGAAGAAGGCUUUCGGGUCGUAAAACUCUGUUGUUGGAGAAGAAUGGUCGGCAGAGUAACUGUUGUCGGCGUGACGGUAUCCAACCAGAAAGCCACGGCUAACUACGUGCCAGCAGCCGCGGUAAUACGUAGGUGGCAAGCGUUAUCCGGAUUUAUUGGGCGUAAAGCGAGCGCAGGCGGUUUUUUAAGUCUGAUGUGAAAGCCCUCGGCUUAACCGAGGAAGUGCAUCGGAAACUGGGAAACUUGAGUGCAGAAGAGGACAGUGGAACUCCAUGUGUAGCGGUGAAAUGCGUAGAUAUAUGGAAGAACACCAGUGGCGAAGGCGGCUGUCUGGUCUGUAACUGACGCUGAGGCUCGAAAGCAUGGGUAGCGAACAGGAUUAGAUACCCUGGUAGUCCAUGCCGUAAACGAUGAAUGCUAGGUGUUGGAGGGUUUCCGCCCUUCAGUGCCGCAGCUAACGCAUUAAGCAUUCCGCCUGGGGAGUACGACCGCAAGGUUGAAACUCAAAGGAAUUGACGGGGGCCCGCACAAGCGGUGGAGCAUGUGGUUUAAUUCGAAGCAACGCGAAGAACCUUACCAGGUCUUGACAUCUUUUGAUCACCUGAGAGAUCAGGUUUCCCCUUCGGGGGCAAAAUGACAGGUGGUGCAUGGUUGUCGUCAGCUCGUGUCGUGAGAUGUUGGGUUAAGUCCCGCAACGAGCGCAACCCUUAUGACUAGUUGCCAGCAUUUAGUUGGGCACUCUAGUAAGACUGCCGGUGACAAACCGGAGGAAGGUGGGGAUGACGUCAAAUCAUCAUGCCCCUUAUGACCUGGGCUACACACGUGCUACAAUGGAUGGUACAACGAGUUGCGAGACCGCGAGGUCAAGCUAAUCUCUUAAAGCCAUUCUCAGUUCGGACUGUAGGCUGCAACUCGCCUACACGAAGUCGGAAUCGCUAGUAAUCGCGGAUCAGCACGCCGCGGUGAAUACGUUCCCGGGCCUUGUACACACCGCCCGUCACACCAUGAGAGUUUGUAACACCCGAAGCCGGUGGCGUAACCCUUUUAGGGAGCGAGCCGUCUAAGGUGGGACAAAUGAUUAGGGUGAAGUCGUAACAAGGUAAACCGU
rnacentral:rRNA from 1 species